rnacentral:rRNA from 1 species
GAGUAAAGAUUUCGGUCGCUUUGGGAGGAGCUCGCUUACUAUCAGCUUGUUGGUAGGGUAAUGGCCUACCAAGGCUAUGACGGUUAGGGGGUGUGAGAGCAUGACCCCCAGCAUUGGCACUGAAACACUGGCCAAACACCUACGGGUGGCUGCAGUCGAGAAUCUUCCACAAUGGGGGAAACCCUGAUGGAGCGAUGCUGCGUGCGGGAUGAAGGCCUUCGGGUUGUAAACCGCUUUUGUAGGGGACGAAAUUUUUGACGGUACCCUUUCGAAUAAGAGGUUGCUAACUCUGUGCCAGCAGCAGCGGUAAUACAGAGACCUCAAGCGUUAUCCGGAUUUACUGGGCGUAAAGCGUCUGUAGGGGGUUUAUUAAGUUCCAAGUAAAAUUUCAAGGCUCAACUUUGAAUUCGCUUGGAAAACUAAUAAACUGGAGUCUAGCAGAGGUGCAUGGAACUUGUGGUGUAGGAGUGAAAUCCGUUGAUAUCACAAGGAACACCAAAGGCGAAGGCAUUGCACUGGGCUAGCACUGACCCUGAGAGACGAAAGCGUGGGGAGCAAAACGGAUUAGAUACCCGUGUAGUCCACGCCCUAAACGAUGAAUGCUAAAUGUUCGGGGAUUCGACCCCCUGGGUGUUACAGCUAACGCGUUAAGCAUUCCGCCUGGGAAGUACGGCCGCAAGGCUAAAACUCAAAGGAAUAGACGGGGAUCCGCACAAGCGGUGGAGCGUCUGGUUUAAUUCGACAGUAAGCGUGGUACCUCACCAGGGUUUGACAUCCCUUGACAGCCUUGGAAACAAGGUUUCCUUCGGGCAAGGUGACAGGUGCUGCAUGGUCGUCGUCAGUUCGUGCCGUGAGGUGUUCCGUUAAGUCGGGAAACGAACGAAACCCCUAUUGCAUGUUACAAUUUCUCAUGCAAGACUGCCCGGAUAUACUGGGAGGAAGGUGGGGAUGACGUCAGAUCUGCAUGGUCCUUAUACCCUGGGCGACACAGGCGCUACAAUGGCAGAGACAAAGGGUUGCAAAACCGCAAGGUGAAGCUAAUCCCAAAAACUUUGUCUAAGUUCGGAUUGAAGGCUGCAAUUCGCCUUCAUGAAGCUGGAAUCGCUAGUAAUCGUGAAUCAGCCACGUCACGGUGAUAUGUUCCCGGAUCUUGUACUCACCGCCCGUCACACCAAGAGAGUUGUAGCUCCCGAAGCGUCCCGUUUUAGCGGGGCAUCACGGAGAGAUCAGCGAUAGGGGUGAAGU